UGAGGCAAACGAGGGGAACUGAAACAUCUAAGUACCCUUAGGAAAAGAAAUCAACCGAGAUUCCCCUAGUAGCGGCGAGCGAACGGGGAUUAGCCCUUAAGUCAGAGGGGGGUUAGUGGAAUGGUCUGGAAAGUCCAGCGGCACAGGGUGAUAGCCCCGUACACGAAAACUAACCUUUGAUGAAAACGAGUAAGGCGGGACACGUGAUAUCCUGUUUGAAUAUGGGGGGACCAUCCUCCAAGGCUAAAUACUCCUGACUGACCGAUAGUGAACCAGUACCGUGAGGGAAAGGCGAAAAGAACCCCUGUGAGGGGAGUGAAUUAGAACCUGAAACCGUA
rnacentral:rRNA from 1 species